CGGUCCUAAGGUAGCGAAAUUCCUUGUCGGGUAAGUUCCGACCCGCACGAAAGGCGUAACGAUUUGGGCACUGUCUCAACGAGAGACUCGGUGAAAUCAUAGUACCUGUGAAGAUGCAGGUUACCCGCGACAGGACGGAAAGACCCCGUGGAGCUUUACUGUAGCCUGAUAUUGAAAUUCGGCACAGCUUGUACAGGAUAGGUAGGAGCCUUUGAAACGUGAGCGCUAGCUUACGUGGAGGCGCUGGUGGGAUACUACCCUAGCUGUGUUGGCUUUCUAACCCGCACCACUUAUCGUGGUGGGAGACAGUGUCAGGCGGGCAGUUUGACUGGGGCGGUCGCCUCCUAAAAGGUAACGGAGGCGCUCAAAGGUUCCCUCAGAAUGGUUGGAAAUCAUUCAUAGAGUGUAAAGGCAUAAGGGAGCUUGACUGCGAGACCUACAAGUCGAGCAGGGUCGAAAGACGGACUUAGUGAUCCGGUGGUUCCGCAUGGAAGGGCCAUCGCUCAACGGAUAAAAGCUACCCCGGGGAUAACAGGCUUAUCUCCCCCAAGAGUUCACAUCGACGGGGAGGUUUGGCACCUCGAUGUCGGCUCAUCGCAUCCUGGGGCUGUAGUCGGUCCCAAGGGUUGGGCUGUUCGCCCAUUAAAGCGGUACGCGAGCUGGGUUCAGAACGUCGUGAGACAGUUCGGUCCCUAUCCGUCGUGGGCGUAGGAAAUUUGAGAGGAGCUGUCCUUAGUACGAGAGGACCGGGAUGGACAUACCUCUGGUGUACCAGUUGUCGUGCCAACGGCAUAGCUGGGUAGCUAUGUGUGGACGGGAUAAGUGCUGAAAGCAUCUAAGCAUGAAGCCCCCCUCAAGAUGAGAUUUCCCAACUUCGGUUAUAAGAUCCCUCAAAGAUGAUGAGGUUAAUAGGUUCGAGGUGGAAGCAUGGUGACAUGUGGAGCUGACGAAUACUAAUCGAUCGAAGACUUAAUCAAAA
rnacentral:rRNA from 1 species